rnacentral:rRNA from 1 species
UCCACGCAGUAAACGAUGAAUGUUAGUCGUCGGGGGCCUAGUGUCUUCGGUGAUGCAGCUAACGCAUUAAACAUUCCGCCUGGGGAGUACGGUCGCAAGAUUAAAACUCAAAGGAAUAGACGGGGACCCGCACAAGUGGUGGAGCAAAUCUAUAAACCCAAUCUCAGUUCGGAUUGUAGUCUGCAACUCGACUACAUGAAGCUGGAAUCACUAGUAAUCGUAGAUCAGCUAUG